UGCUGCAUCUUCUCUUCCUCGGCUUCCCACUCUUUUUUCUCAUUUGUUCUCGAUUUCCCACUCUUCUCUUCUUGACCUGGCCUCCGACGACACCUCCCGAAGCCUCCCGAAGCCAGCUACCUGAAGCCUCCCGAAGUCCUCGACGCCCAGCCACCUGAAGGCCACCCUCACGAAGUCGUUGCAGGCCACCCUCACGAAGUCGUUGCAGGCCAGCCCCUCGAAGCCGUCACAGCCCAGCCUUGAUUCUUUCCCUUGCAGCUCCCGUCGCAAUCGUCGUCGCCUCCCAAUAAACCCUUGGUCGGACCUCAUUCUCUCUUAUCAGAGGAGCUCACUCAUGGUCGAUAGGCCUCUCUCUGUUAACUCCAAUUCCAAGUCUUCUUCAUCUGUCAAAUCCAAGCCUCUGUCUUCUUCUGGGGUCCGCCGCAGCAACACUGGCUCAACGGGUGGCUCCACUGCAGCCGCCAAGGAUGAUGCAGGAGCGGAUGCUGACUUUGCUGAUUGUGUAUAAUUACAAUCAAAGGUACCCUGUUGCUAUAUGUGGUGUUUUUGGUAACAGUUGCCAACCAUAUGCAGAUAGUAUUUUCUGAUGAAAUUGAGAGAAUAACCAUAGAGGCACAAAAUCAGAUUUCUGAGACUGAAAGGAAUUAUACAGAAGCCUUGGAGCUUCUUAGGAAUGGACGCUAUCAAUGGCAUAACAAAGAAUGAUGUUGGUGCCUAUCAGAGUGCCUGUGGUGGUCAUGAAGUUCGUUGCUCUGCUUCUUAUGAUUAGAGUUGGGCAUUUGUACUAUGAGUUAUAUAUGUAAAUUUGCAUAGAUCUGAGUGUAUAUUUGUGUUAUAUAUAUAUAUUGAAUAUUGUAAAAUUGUACAGAUUUAAGUUUGAUUUUCAUAGAUUUGAAGAUUGUAAAUUUAUUGAUAUAUAUUGGUGAUGUUAAGUGUA